rnacentral:lncRNA from 1 species
UAAGAUGAGCAUGGAAAUCUAAGCCUAAAACUUUUACGCCAGAGUCUAGCAUUCAAGCAAAAUGAAAUCAUGCUCAUGCAGGAUGCUUUUGAGUGCCCGUUAGCACCAUGGGACCAAAUUCUAGUUUAUAAGAUCCCAUCUCUGGUGAAACAAACUGUUAUAUUAAGAAGAAAAACUUAAGAAAUUCAGCAGAAGUGCUCAUGUUUCUGCAAAUAUCUAGCUUGAUUAUAGUUGUCUGCUAGGGCUCCUGAUCAAAAGUGUGCAUUAAACUAUGGCAGUCUACCAGAAACAAUGAAAUUAUAUAGCUAAGUAAAGAUGGGCUAUAAUGUCAGCCAAAAAGACAGAUUUAAUGCCAAUCCUUGAGUAGACAAAAUGAAUAACCCAUCAAAUGGGGACUCAACAAAAGGUGUAAAGUUUGACAGAAGAAACCCUCAUCCUCUAAAUUCCUUACUUCAUUUUAAUUAAGCCAAUAGUCAUAAUUUUUAGCACUUUAACCUUGAAAAUCAAUACCUAUUCCUUUUUCAAUCUAUAGCUCCAGGAGAAUUUGAAUGAAGUCCACCAAACAGUAAAGUGUACCAUAUCUUUGAUCCAUGUAAGACAUAACUUCCCUGAAGUAUACUUGCCUAAGAGAUUUCUUACCAACUACAGACAUGCUGCAGCAGCAAAAAUAAUAAUAAUAAUAACAGCAUGAUCGUUUGAGAGAAAACCUGGUUAAGUCAUUUAAGUCUUUAAGCCUCCCAAACUUCAAGUGAAGGGUAGUUCAUGUAGUUCUUGGAUAAUCAAAUAAUUUUUCCCCAACCAAAUUAUUUCCCAAAAUACAUGGAUGGAAAACACUGCCAUGUGCAAUGUCUCUUGCAGGUCACAAGCACGAUUAUUAUCGUCCCAACCAAAAAUCUCAUGAACAGGUAUUGAAUCCGCUACAAUUAGAUUCUAAAGGGAAAGGCCCUCAACAGGAAAACACGGUGACAAGAUUAUUGGCUAUAACUAAUCUAUUCAAAUUUCUACAACAACCCACAAUGUACAUUACACUGCAAAAAGUAACCAAUCAUUCAGUCCCUGUUUCAUUUCUCAGAUGAAAUGUACUAAGUUUUCUCUGGUUCUGAAACAUAUGAUACCUCAGCUGUUCCUGCACAAUAUACAGUUCCCCUAUCAACAUCCCUAAAACAUCUACACUAUCUCAGCUCUAAAACUCGUACAUAUGUUUUAAAUUCCAGCAUAUUCAUCCUUCAAAAAACAGCUCUAAAACUAUAGAUAAGCCUACUAGGAAAUCCUGAACGUAUCCAACUAAACACCCCACAAGGAAAUUGAAAGAUAUACUUUCAGAGAAAUUCCAGGCAGCCAAAAAUUAAUUCAUUCGUUUACACACUAUUUUCAUCCCAACAUACAGAUGGAAAAGAAAGAAUUCAGAAACUACAGAUAUACCUAAAAACCACUAAGUCAAAAAGAAAAAGGUCCAAAUAAGCAUAAAACAACAGAACUCAAAGAAGACUUUCAUUGAAUUUGUACAAACAGCUAAAAAUAAAUCCAUACCAGCAAGAAAAAGGAUAAGAAAAUAUUGCAUCUUUUUAACAGUACCUUCCAAGCCAGAGAGUACCCCAAGCGAUAAGCAAUAGAACUGCUGAAAACCCAACAAGCAAAACAAAGCAAAGCGGCCAAAGACCCAGCUUUCUUG